AGAACUGUUCGUUAAGGUGUGCGAACAGGGUAAUAAAAAAAAUUACCUAUUGAGA
rnacentral:ncRNA from 2 species